rnacentral:rRNA from 1 species
UGAGUAACACGUAUCCAACCUGCCGUCUACUCUUGGACAGCCUUCUGAAAGGAAGAUUAAUCAAGAUGGCAUCAUGAGUCCGCAUGUUCACAUGAUUAAAGGUAUUCCGGUAGACGAUGGGGAUGCGUUCCAUUAGAUAGUAGGCGGGGUAACGGCCCACCUAGUCUUCGAUGGAUAGGGGUUCUGAGAGGAAGGUCCCCCACAUUGGAACUGAGACACGGUCCAA